rnacentral:lncRNA from 1 species
CUCUAUUAGAAGUACCCUCUAGAAGCAAUGAUAGGGAUACUGAAAAGACAUGAAAACAUUGAUCUUUGUCCCUCCUUCCCUCCAUGACUUCCAACCUUUAGUCUGAAAAGGAUGAUGAAAGUCUUGUUACCUUAUGGAUACCAACGUCUUCACUGUGGCUACCAGCAGGAGAGCUGUUACAGCGCUGUUUGAUGGCAACACAGUUGAAGAAAAUGCUUGACACGGAUGUGACCAGAGAACUACAGCAAGAUGUGAAAUACAGGCCAUGGGGUGAAGAAGUCAAACUGCAUAAGAGGGAGAGGCAAGGAAAGAAGAGCUGACUUAGAAAAACAGGGAAGGUUAUCCAAAACAAAUGGAAAACAAAGAAUUAAGGAGCAGCCAUUAACACCCACACGACGCCUGAGACAGCCUGGGAUUGUUACAGUGACUGAAUGAGUAUGCAAACAUAAUAACUGCUACAGAACUAACUGGAGGACCAUCUAAUCUGACCUUCUGUCUUCAGCUGAGCUGGUGCCAGCCAUCUCAAAUGAAGACAAAAAAAUCCCUAACACAAAAUUGUGCAAUGCUCUGUUAUAGAAGAAAAUUUUCCCUGACUCCAGCUGUUGCUCAAUUAUGUCCUGAAGCUUGAGGAUUAACAGUUCUGGUGAUUUUUGU